GUAACCUGGUUGAUCCUGCCAGUAGUUAUAUGCUUGUCUCAAAGGUUAAGCCAUGCAUGUCUCAGUAUGAGUGCUUCUACGGCGAAACUGCGAAUGGCUCAUUAAAUCAGUUACGGUUUAUUUGAUGACUUGUGACACGGAUAACUGGGGAAAUUCUUCAGCCAAUACGUGCUUCUAAGCCGACUUUGUGGAAG
rnacentral:rRNA from 1 species